UUCCGGUUGAUCCUGCCGGAGGCUACUGCUAUUGGAAUUCGACUAAGCCAUGCGAGUCAAGGUGUCUUCGGACGCCGGCAAACGGCUCAGUAACACGUAGGUAAUCUACCCUCAGGACUGAGAUAACCCCGGGAAACUGGGGCUAAUACCAGAUAGAUAAAAGAUACUGGAAUGUUCUUUUAUCCAAAGCUUUUGUGCCUGAGGAUGAGCCUGCGCCCGAUUAGGUAGUUGGUGGGGUAAUGGCCCACCAAGCCUGCGAUCGGUACGGGCAGUGGGAGCUGUAGCCCGGAGUUGGGGACUGAGACAAGGCCCCAGGCCCUACGGGGCGCAGCAGGCGCGAAACCUCUGCAAUGCGGGAAACCGUGACAGGGGGAUUCCAAGUGCUCAUGCAUUGCAUGGGCUGUUCUUUGGUCUAAGUAACCAGAGGAGUAAGGGCUGGGCAAGACCGGUGCCAGCCGCCGCGGUAAUACCGGCAGCUCGAGUGGUAGCCGCGAUUAUUGGGCCUAAAACGUUCGUAGCCGGAUAAGUAAGUCUUUGGUUAAAUCCUACGACUUAACCGUGGGAAAUCUAGAGAUACUGCUUGUCUUGAGACCGGGAGAGGUUGGAGGUACUCCCAGGGUAGGGGUGAAAUCCUGUAAUCCUGGGGGGACCACCUGUGGCGAAGGCGUCCAACUGGAACGGCUCUGACGGUGAGGGACGAAACCUAGGGGAGCGAGCCGGAUUAGAUACCCGGGUAGUCCUAGGCGUAAAUGAUGCGAGUUAAGUGUGGGGGCAUCUACGAGAUGGCCCUGUGCUGUAGGGUAGCCGUUAAACUCGCUGCCUGGGGAGUACGGUCGCAAGGCUGAAACUUAAAGGAAUUGGCGGGGGAGCACCACAAGAGGUGGAGGCUGCGGUUCAAUUGGAUUCAACGCCGGA
rnacentral:rRNA from 1 species